AAUCUGCUCAGCCUCCUCUUGAAGCUGUGACAGGAGAGUACUUAUCUUGUGGAGCCUACUUCGAUCUUUCUGCCGCUUGGUUACUAGCUUUAUAGGGAGAGACAUAUUCUCAGUCUCAAAAGGAAGCAACCUAGGAUGAAAACCACUGAGAACAAAACAGGAAGAGAGGUCCCAGCUCCUACAAGCACCUCUCUCCUGUUUGUUUGUUUGUUUGUUUUAACCUUCAUUGCCCCUCAAAUCUGGCCUCUUUCAGUAGGUUGUUUGUUUCGUGAAUUAAGGUUAGUAAUGCAAAAGUAAACUUCCAGGUUUAGAGCUCAGGGGGAAAUUAUGACUUAUUGUGCCCCGUAGAAUACUAAGUUUGGGGCUAAUUCUUGUCUUUGCCCUUGAACCUUCUGGUGGGACAACGGCAGAUUGUCUCUAGUUUCUACUCACUACUAUAUGAAAGGAUUAGACAAAGGGACUUCUGUGUAGAUGUCUUGUACUUUUUAUAUCCCACAUUACAACUGUUUUAUUUUUUCAUAUUAUAGCUUUUAUAUACAUGUGUAUUUUUUGAGGUUUUUGUCAGCUGGGAAUAUUUGAAAAAGCCUACAAUUUCUUGUACACAUUAUCUCCACUAGUUAAAAAUUAUGUGUCACUUUUUCUUAAAUAAAUAGUGAAAUACUUGUGGAUUUAAGGUAGAAAUAUUUAUUUAUAUGGGCUUUCUUGUGUGAAUUUAAUUUGAAAAUCACCUUCAUGUAAUAGCAUGAAAAAUUUCAUUGUUUUUUUAAAGAUAGACAUUUCUCUAAUAAUAAUAAUAAUAAUAAUAAUAAUAAUAAUACUUGAUAGUAUAAAUCUAGUGAUUUCUGAAUUCUUCAUAGUAUAUUAAAUCUUGAGUAUAAUAUAUUGGUGCUUAAAACCUUUUAACUGAGUGAACAAACAGGUGGAUAGGUAAAUAUACAACCUUUUAUCUGAAAAACACACAAAAACUGUUUUGUCUUUUGAUAAAUUAGAUGAACUAGGUACUAUUAAAAGGUUUGGGAAAUUUGAAAACUACUGAUAAAAUUUACAAGUUUUUUUUUUUUUUUUUUUUUUUGGUUUUUCGAGACAGGGUUUCUCUGUGUAGCCCUGGCUGUCCUGGAACUCACUUUGUAGACCAGGCUGGCCUCGAACUCAGAAAUCUGCCUGCCUCUGCCUCCCGAGUGCUGGGAUAAAAGGCGUGUGCCACCACCGCCCGGUUAGCAAUUUACAAGGUUUUAAAAAUGUCAAAGUGCAUUUUAUUACCAUGCCUCUUACACUCAAAUCAAAAACUGUGUCCUCUCGCUUGGCAACACACAGAACUCUGUAUUAUUUUCCCACUUAUGCUUUCCAGGAAAUCCAAAGAGUGGAUAACGGUAGGCAUACGCUAGAGUGAUGGUAACCCUCUCAUCCAGGAUUGGCUGACACGUGACACAAUUCUAACCAAUAAGGCCGUGAGUGUGCACCAAAGCUCCCCUGGGAAAGUUUCUCUUUGUUCUUAAAAGACAUUUGGAAAUAAAGAAUGCCUUUUUUGAAUCUUAGAUUGCUGUGUCUUCAAGGGGAUUUUGCACAAUGAGCAGGAUUGGCCCGAUGGUCAGAGCAGGCUGAGGCCAGGAGAGGAGGGCAGAGAAAGCAGCCGAACCUUGAGGGAACUGAGCAGAAGGCCGAGCAACCCUGAAAGUGUCUGUCUUCAGCUUCUUGACAUGGCUGACAACAAAUAGCUUUAUUAUUGAAGACAUUUCAGGUGGAUUUUCUUAUUACAUGAAGAAGUAUAAUCUUCCUGUUCUCCCGAAGGUCCUGAGUUCAAAUCCCAGCAACCACAUUGUGGCUCACAACCAUCCAAAAUGAUUUCUGACACCCUCUUCUGGUGUGUCUUAAGACACAGUGUACUUACAUAUAAUAAUAAAUAAAUU
rnacentral:lncRNA from 1 species